rnacentral:lncRNA from 1 species
GGAAGAAGUUAGUCGCCAUCUUGGAUCAUCGGCUAACAUAAUUAUUGACUGAAGUGAGUUUGUAACAUGUUUGGCUGCGCUCCAACAGCGUUAUCGUGUUUACACACAGCUUUCCUUUAGGUUUCAUGUCUCAGACUAUCACUGCAAAGUUUAUCUGACCUCUGAUUUGGCUGAGUGGAUUUUCGUCAAGGAGCACAUCGCUGGAAAGAUGCCAGUGAAGUUUCGCAAGACAGGAGGCUCCAGAGAUCACGGAAUGCCUGUGCCUCUCACCAAGCCGAGGAGCACAGCCCAUCUUCUGGUCUGUUUCCCUGCCCCCUGUACGCUGCCAGACCCACAACAGCAGCAACAGUCCACAUAUGGAAAUGCUUGAUUUGAUAUAGUGUCAUUUUACUUUGCAGAAAUGAGUAUACGCAUGUUCUCCUCCUCUCUGCAACCCGCCACCACCACCACUGUAACCCAUGGAGUGUGAAAUGCGAUCCUGGGUUACUGCCAGUGCUGUUAAAAAAGAACACUGUUCUUAUUAAAUGAUUAUUUACCGACACAAGAAGAUUAUGGGUUGGAGCUAGA